CCUACGGGUGGCAGCAGUGAGGAAUAUUGGUCAAUGGGCGCGAGCCUGAACCAGCCAAGUAGCGUGAAGGAUGACUGCCCUACGGGUUGUAAACUUCUUUUGUCGGGGAACAAAGGCGGAGACGCGUCUCCGGAUGAGUGUACCCGAAGAAAAAGCAUCGGCUAACUCCGUGCCAGCAGCCGCGGUAAUACGGAGGAUGCGAGCGUUAUCCGGAUUUAUUGGGUUUAAAGGGUGCGCAGGCGGGAGGACAAGUCAGCGGUAAAAUGUCGGGGUUCAACCCCGGCCGGCCGUUGAUACUGGUUGUCUAGAGUUGGGGAGAGGUAGGCGGAAUUCGUGGUGUAGCGGUGAAAUGCAUAGAUAUCACGAAGAACUCCGAUUGCGAAGGCAGCUUACCGGCUCCAUACUGACGCUGAGGCACGAAAGCGUGGGGAUCGAACAGGAUUAGAUACCCCUGUAGUC
rnacentral:rRNA from 1 species